rnacentral:rRNA from 1 species
AAAUUGAAGAGUUUGAUCAUGGCUCAGAUUGAACGCUGGCGGCAGGCCUAACACAUGCAAGUCGAACGGUAACAGGAAGAAGCUUGCUG